CACUGUGACGGAAUUCUGGUCUAGAACCUCUACAAGGCUUUCGUUUUGACCAAGCUGAGAUGUGAUCAGGCCGUAUAAAGUCCACGCUACCGGUGAUCCCCAGUAAUACCACCUCCACCAGAUCGGUAUUUGCUGUAAUGUUCAGGUUAGUUUAAAUCUGUUAGAUUUUAUUAACGUAAUUCAUUCUAAUCAGUGACUUUUAGAUUAGUGAUUUAGGUUGUCAUACCGUUCUAGGGAUCAGGAAACCGGAGAACAAGUUCCAGAAAUUGAGGAAGAAGGUCAUAGAAAUGGCUGCAAUCUGAUAAUUGGGUGUGAGGGCCACAAGCAUCAUUCCGUAUAAUGUGAAAUAGACAAAGG
rnacentral:lncRNA from 1 species